GUGUCAGCAGCCGCGGUAAGACAGAGGGCGCAAGCGUUGUUCGGAAUUACUGGGCGUAAAGCGCGCGUAGGCGGAUCUGUUUGUCCGUAAGUGAAAUCCCGCCGCUCAACGGCGGGGCUGCUUGGGAAACGGCAGGUCUGGGGACCGGUAGAGGUCGGUAGAAUUCCCGGUGUAGCGGUGGAAUGCGUAGAGAUCGGGAAGAAUACCCGUGGCGAAGGCGGCCGACUGGGCCGGAUCCGACGCUAAUGCGCGAAAGCGUGGGGAGCAAACAGGAUUAGAUACCCUGGUAGUCCACGCCGUAAACGAUGGGCACUAGGUGCCGGGGGGAGCGACCCCUUCGGUGCCGCAGCUAACGCGUUAAGUGCCCCGCCUGGGGAGUACGGCCGCAAGGCUGAA
rnacentral:rRNA from 1 species